rnacentral:rRNA from 1 species
UACGUAGGGUGCAAGCGUUGUCCGGAAUUAUUGGGCGUAAAGAGCUCGUAGGCGGUCUGUCGCGUCUGCUGUGAAACCGCGGCUUAACUGCGGGACUGCAGUCGAUACGGGCAGGCUAGAGUUCGGUAGGGGAGACUGGAAUUCCUGGUGUAGCGGUGAAAUGCGCAGAUAUCAGGAGGAACACCGGUGGCGAAGGCGGGUCUCUGGGCCGAUACUGACGCUGAGGAGCGAAAGCGUGGGGAGCGAACAGGA